rnacentral:rRNA from 1 species
GACGAACGCUGGCGGCGUGCUUAACACAUGCAAGUCGAACGAUUAACCCGGAGCUUGCUCCGGUGGAUUAGUGGCGAACGGGUGAGUAACACGUGAGUAACCUGCCCUUGACUCUGGGAUAACUGCGGGAAACUGUAGCUAAUACCGGAUUCGACCCGCCGCGCCAUCGCCAGGGGCCGGUAAGGAUUUCGGUCAAGGAUGGACUCGCGGCCUAUCAGCUGGUUGGUGAGGUAACGGCCCACCAAGGCGAGGGCGGGUAGCCCGCCCGAGAGGGUGACCGGCCACACUGGGACUGAGACACGGCCCAGACUCCCACGGGAGGCAGCAGUGGGGAAUAUUGCACAAAGGGCGCAAGCCUGAUGCAGCAACGCCGCGUGGGGGAUGACGGCCUUCGGGUUGUAAACCUCUUUUAGUAGGGAAGAAGCGAAAGUGACGGUACCUGCAGAAAAAGCACCGGCUAACUACGUGCCAGCCGCCGCUGUAA